rnacentral:rRNA from 1 species
GUUUGAUCCUGGCUCAGAUUAAACGCUGGCGGCAUGCCUUACACAUGCAAGUCGAACGGCAGCACGGGGGCAACCCUGGUGGCGAGUGGCGAACGGGUGAGUAAAGCAUCGGAACGUGCCCUGGAGUGGGGGAUAACGUAGCGAAAGUUACGCUAAUACCGCAUAUUCUGUGAGCAGGAAAGCAGGGGAUCGCAAGACCUUGCGCUCUGGGGAGCGGCCGAUGUCGGAUUAGCUAGUUGGUGGGGUAAAGGCCUACCAAGGCGACGAUCCGUAGCGGGUCUGAGAGGAUGAUCCGCCACACUGGGACUGAGACACGGCCCAGACUCCUACGGGAGGCAGCAGUGGGGAAUUUUGGACAAUGGGCGAAAGCCUGAUCCAGCCAUGCCGCGUGAGUGAAGAAGGCCU